ACAAAAGCAUCCGCUAUUUCCAUUCGUUAAACACAAACGGCCAAAACAAAAACCCUUCCUUGAGACACAAGAGGAUGAUCGUUACAUCGUUUGAAGAUUCUUUUAAUAACUGUUUGGAAUAAGCCGAUACAGAAGGAGAGAGGACGAUAGAGAGACGUUGCGAUACAUAGGCUACAGUUCACAGAUCAUAGUGAUUGAGGCAUUGCAUUAGAACGAGUACCAAAAAUUUUGAAAGAAACCCAGUGACGCUUGAAAGAACAAGGGCCUGCCUUCACUAGCCUGCCACCACUGGUCAGCCAACGAAACCACUACCGGUAAAACUGAUUUCUUUCUUUUUUCCCUUUCAGUUGUACUGCUUUGGAUUUUAUUUCUUAAUCUUCUUCUCCUUUACUAUUAUAGAGUGAAUUGGGGAAUUGGACCUUUACUUAGCAGUAGUUGGAUUUGAAAUAAACUCAUUCUAUUUUGUAGAAUAGAUUAGGUGAUUACGUUGGUUGUCAUUACUCAUUAGGAUGUUAUUAUCUCAUUAGCCAAUUGUUUCGGCUAUUUUAAUUCUAAUUAGUUUGCUAUUUGAAUUAUUUUCAAUUGGAUGUAAUCCAUAUCAUGGCUGUAUUUUAUACGGAAAAGUGUAGAAAUAAAGAUCAUUAGAAAAAUUAAACCAACACUAUCUCUUUUCUCUCAUUAAGGAGAUUAGACAUCUCAAAUUGACUAAAAUCCUUUGUU